rnacentral:rRNA from 1 species
UACGUAGGGACCAAGCGUUGUUCGGCUUUACUGGGCGUAAAGGGCGCGUAGGCGGCGCGGUAAGUCACUUGUGAAAUCUCUGAGCUUAACUCAGAACGGCCAAGUGAUACUGCAGUGCUAGAGUGCGGAAGGGGCAAUCGGAAUUCUUGGUGUAGCGGUGAAAUGCGUAGAUAUCAAGAGGAACACCUGAGGUGAAGACGGGUUGCUGGGCCGACACUGACGCUGAGUGCGCGAAAGCCAGGGGAGCAAACGGG